UACGGAGGGUGCAAGCGUUAUCCGGAUUCACUGGGUUUAAAGGGUGCGUAGGUGGGCAAGUAAGUCAGUGGUGAAAUCUCCGGGCUUAACCCGGAAACUGCCAUUGAUACUAUCUGUCUUGAAUAUCCUGGAGGUGAGCGGAAUAUGUCAUGUAGCGGUGAAAUGCUUAGAUAUGACAUAGAACACCCAUUGCGAAGGCAGCUCACUACGGGAUCAUUGACACUGAGGCACGAAGGCGUGGGGAUCAAACAGG
rnacentral:rRNA from 1 species